AGAACCUGAAACCCUGCACUUACAAGCUGUAGGAGCACAUUUCUUGUGUGACUGCGUACUUUUUGUAGAACGGGCCAACGAGUUACGUUGUGUAGCAAGGUUAAGCACUUAAGGUGUGGAGCCGUAGCGAAAGCGAGUCUUAAAUGGGCGUCUAGUUACCCGACGUAGACCCGAAACCAGGCGACCUAUCCAUGAGCAGGUUGAAGCGAAAGUAAAAUUUCGUGGAGGACCGAACCCACGUACGUUGAAAAGUGCGGGGAUGACUUGUGGAUAGCGGUGAAAUUCCAAUCGAGCCUGGAGAUAGCUGGUUCUCCCCGAAAUAGCUUUAGGGCUAGCCUCAAGAUUAGAGAAGCGGAGGUAGAGCACUGAAUGUCCUAGGGGGUAUUGCACUUACCGAAGACUAUCAAACUCCGAAUGCCGUAUUCUUUUGCUUGGGAGUCAGACUAUGGGUGAUAAGAUUCAUAGUCAAGAGGGCAACAGCCCAGAUCGUCAGCUAAGGUCCCUAAAUGUAAGUUAAGUGGUAAAGGAUGUGGAAUUGCACAGACAACCAGGAUGUUGGCUUAGAAGCAGCCACUCAUUUAAAGAGUGCGUAAUAGCUCACUGGUCGAGUGAUUCUGCGCCGAAAAUUUCCGGGGCUAAAACUUACUACCGAAGCUACGGCAUCAUUAUGAUGGGUAGGGGAGCUUUCUAUACGGGUUGAAGCAUGACCGUAAGGACAUGUGGACUGUAUAGAAGUGAGAAUGUUGGCAUGAGUAGCGAGAUGUGGGUGAGAAUCCCACAGGCCGUAAACCCAAGGUUUCCAGGGGAAGGUUCGUCCGCCCUGGGUUAGUCAGGACCUAAGCCGAGGCCGAAAGGCGUAGGUGAUGGACAACAGGUUGAUAUUCCUGUACCACCAAUAACCGUUUGAGAAAUGGGAUGACACAGUAGGAUAAGCUAACCGCACUGUUGGUUAUGUGCGGGCAAGUAUUGAGGCAGUUCCGAUAGGCAAAUCCGUCGGAAUAAUGCUGGGGUACGAUGCGGAGCGAAAUUUAGUAGCGAAGUAGCUGAUUUCACACUGUCGAGAAAAGUCUCUAUCGAGGUUAAAGGUGCCUGUACCGCAAACCGACACAGGUGGGUGAGGAGAGUAUCCUAAGGCCAGCGAGAGAACUGUUGUUAAGGAACUCGGCAAAAUGACCCCGUAACUUAGGGAGAAGGGGUGCCUUCGAAAGAAGGCCGCAGAGAAUAGGCCCAAGCGACUGUUUACCAAAAACAUAGGUUUCUGCUAAGUCGCAAGACGAUGUAUAGGAGCUGACGCCUGCCCGGUGCUGGAAGGUUAAGGGGAUCUGUUAGAGCAAUCGAAGCAGUGAACUUAAGCCCCAGUAAACGGCGGCCGUAACUAUAACGGUCCUAAGGUAGCGAAAUUCCUUGUCGGGUAAGUUCCGACCCGCACGAAAGGCGUAACGAUUUGGGCACUGUCUCAACAACAGACUCGGUGAAAUUGUAAUACCGGUGAAGAUGCCGGUUACCUGCGACAGGACGGAAAGACCCCAUGGAGCUUUACUGUAGCUUGACAUUGAGUCUCGGUGCUACAUGUACAGGAUAGGUGGGAGGCUAUGAAGCAUGGACGUCAGUUUGUGUGGAGCCAUCCUUGGGAUACCACCCUUGUAGUACUGGGAUUCUAACCAGCUGCCUUGAAUCAGGUAGUGGGACACUGUCAGGUGGACAGUUUGACUGGGGCGGUCGCCUCCUAAAGAGUAACGGAGGCGCUCAAAGGUUCUCUCAGUACGGUCGGAAAUCGUACGUAGAGUGUAAAGGCAGAAGAGAGCUUGAUUGCAAGACAUACAGGUCGAGCAAGGACGAAAGUCGGACUUAGUGAUCCGGUGGUUCCGCAUGGAAGGGCCAUCGCUCAACGGAUAAAAGCUACCCUGG
rnacentral:rRNA from 1 species